rnacentral:rRNA from 1 species
UACAGAGGGGGCAAGCGUUGUUCGGAAUUACUGGGCGUAAAGGGCGCGUAGGCGGCCCGCUAAGUCGAACGUGAAAUCCCCGGGCUCAACCCGGGAACUGCGUCCGAUACUGGCAGGCUUGAAUCCGGGAGAGGGAUGUGGAAUUCCAGGUGUAGCGGUGAAAUGCGUAGAUAUCUGGAGGAAUACCGGUGGCGAAGGCGGCAUCCUGGACCGGCAUUGACGCUGAUGAGCGAAAGCUAGGGGAGCAAACGGG